ensembl:lncRNA
CCUUAAUUGUAAUAUUAAUAAUAAUAUACCUGAAUGUCAUGUGGCAAAUGGUGUGCUUAUCAAAUUAUUAAACAAGUGUUUAUUUUGCUUGAAUUUUAAAACUUGUUUAAUAAAUAAAAACAAAGGAAGUGAUGAUAAAGAUAAAUAUUUUUAUAUUCAGAUCGUGCAAGAUAAGGGAAGUGAUGCUGACAAUGCAGCUAACAAAAAUGCAGCUAACAAAAAUGCAGCUAACAAAAAUGCAGCUAACAACAAUGAAACUAACAACAAUGAAACUAACAACAAUGAAACUAACAAAAAUGCAGCUAACAAAAAUGCAGCUAACAGCAAUGGAACUAACAGCAAUGGAACUAAGUUUAAUAAGACAAAAGACGAAGGAGUAAUGACAAAUGGGGAAACAACAAAUAACGAUGAAAAAGAUGAAGAAAUAAAGUUUUUUACUUUUUAUAACAAAAGAAUAGUUCAACAUGCACCAAAUCCUAACAAUAUGAGAGACGGAUUUGUGAAUAAUAGCAGUAGUAGUGCACACGUUACAAAUAGAGGGGAACACCAAGAUAUUCAUAACAAUAACCAGACAAACCAAAAUAGUAGUAAAUGCUUUUAUUUUAGUAAGAAUAUGAAAAUAAUAUCGUUAAUAGAUAUUUAUAAAAUUAGUUGGUGUUUAUGUGUUUUAAAAAAAAAUGAUUUGUUUAUAGAUUUAUUACGCAUUUUUUUUAAUGAAAUAGAAAGUAUGACGAUUGUAAAAGAAUUUAUUUUUUGCAUUUUGUAUCUUUUUAAGUUUUGUGAUAUUUUAGAACUAAACGAAUGUAAACGUUAUUUGAAUAAUAAUAUAGAUAUAAAUAUCGAGAAUAAUAAUUUUGAAAAUAUAUGUAUGUAUAUGCAUUUGUUACAUAUAUGCUCGUUAAAUAAUGACAAAACAGAGUUGUCUAUUAUUCACAGAAAAAACAUUGAUAAAAUUAUAACUUAUUUUUAUGAUAAUAUAGAAAAUAUAAAUAUAUAUGUAUGUACCAAUAUAUUGUGUGUUUUAGCUAAUUUAAAUAUAAAAAAUAAUGAUUAUCCAUACUUUUUUAAUAAGGUAUUAAAUUAUUUAAAAACUAAUAUAAAAAAAAUGAACAAAGGAGUAUUACUAAUUAAUGUGUUAUGGUCUUUAUGUAUUAUUGAGGUUACGUGUGCUGUUUUUUUUAAAGACUUAAGUGAAUAUAUUAUAAACAUAUUGCAUUGCAUUUCUUUAUAUGAUUUUAUAACUAUUUGUUGUUGCUUUGGAUGUCAAAAAAUGCUUGUUAUAAAAAACUUUUUUGAUUUUGAAAAAAAAACAAAAGAGUUGAAACUUAAUAAAAGAGAGAGCAAAUAUAUCAAGGCAGGUAAACGUAGUAGUAUUACUACUACUACUACUAAUGAACUUACUAGUGGUAACAAAGAAAUAAAUUUAAACGACUAUCAAAGUGAUUACGCAAAAUAUGAAUCAUCUAUUAAUAAUUAUUAUGAAAAAAAAAAAAUAUUUCCUUCUUAUUUUUAUCAAAAACGUACAUCUCAAACAAUCAUAUUUAAAAUACUAACUUACAAUUUUUUGCAUCAUGAACAAAAUGUAGAAAUGGAUGAUGACAUACGAGUGGGAACAGACAGAGAAAGUGACUACAACCUGAAUAUGACAAAUGGAACCAUGGAAGGGAAUAAUAUCUUUAAUGUGAAUAUGAAUCAUGUUAGUAAAUACAGGGAUAAUGAUACUAGAAAUAAAACAGGAACUAGUACUAUUAUAAAUAAUGAAAAUACUCCAUUUUUUAAACAAGAGUUAGUAAAAAGAAAAUCAAAUCGAAGUCUAAGUCUUAGUGGUGAUAACCAAAAUAAAAAAAAAAACGAAGUGUACAAAGGUGAAGAAUUUAUAUACCCAAACCUUGCUCGUUUUAACAGUUCGAACAUAUAUAAUAGUAACAAUAAUAAUAAUAACAAUAAUAAUAAUAAUAACAAUAAUAGUAAUAACAAUAAUAGUAAUAACAAUAAUAGUAAUAACAAUAAUAGUAAUAACAAUAAUAGUAAUAACAAUAAUAAUAGUAAUAACAAUAAUAAUAGUAAUAAUAAUGAGGAUGUUGCAAGUGAUAUAAAUUUUUAUAACAAUAAUAAUAAUUUGGAAGAGAAGAAGAAGAAGAAAAAGAAGGAUGCUUAUCUGAUGAGUGCUAAACAUGGUAAUAAAAACGAAUUACAUAUGUAUAACAAUAUAAACAACCCAAAGAAUCCUAACGUACCUACGUACGAAACACAAAACAGUGCAAAUAAAAAUAAAAAAUACAUUAAAAACUAUAAUGAUAACAAAAAUAAAAAAAAAAUUAAAGAAUAUUAUAAUGUAUAUGAUCGAAGUCAUAAUUAUAAUUUUACUUUGGACUCAUGUCAACGAAUAUUGUUUACCAAUUUAAUAGAAGAUUGUUGUAAUAACUUUGAAAAAAUAAAAAGUAUUUAUUUAAUUGAGUUGUUGUAUACUUUGUGUGUUCUAAAUCUGGACAAAGAAAAAUUAGUAAAAAUAAUUGAAAAAAAAAAAAAAAGUAGUCAUAUCGGGAAAAGCUACAAUAGUACUAUUGGUAGUAGCAACACAAAUCUUGAAAAUAGCAUAUUCAAUAAUAAUUACCAAAAAGUAUUGAAAAAGAAAAAACAUUUAUAUAAAAAUUAUACAAACGAGGAUAUAAUUAACGAAAAAAACGAAUUAAUCAUUUUAAAUUAUAUAUAUAACCAAUAUGUAGAAGAAAAUAUAAAAAAAACAAAAAAUAUGAACAUUAUAGAAAACACAUUUUUAUCAUUUAUUGAUAAUAUUUAUUUUCAAAAAUAUAUAAAUGAUGAUUUGUUUUUAAAUAUUAUUAAAUCAAAAAAUACGGCAGAAGAAGUAUCAGGAAAAUUUGGAAAGUUUAGUAUAAUCAAAAAUAUUUUAAGUCCUUCGAAUUAUAAAGAGAAAGAUGUUGUUAGUGUAGUUACUACUACAACUACUGCUAGUUCACCACAAGAUAAAACAAACGGUACAUCUACAAACCUCAUAAACAAUAUUACCAACACAGGAGGAAAAGGUAGAAACUCGAGUAACUUUUCCCAAGCGAACAAUUUCUUAAAUAAAGAAGAACAACACAUGAAGUCUUUUUAUUUUACUCCAAAAAAUAAAAGUGAUGAAAAUUCCAGCCUUAGCUCUCAAACAAAUAAUAAAUCAAAUAUGUACCAUAAUUAUGAAACAAUGUACAGUUGUACUGGCUUUAAUAAAGACUUAAAAAAUACAUAUGAUGUUGCUACAACUGACUCUAACCAAAAAACAAAAACAAAAGAUACAACAAAAGAUAUGUUAUAUAAUGAAAAUACAAAUAACAAACAACAACUUUUAACCAAUAUGCAAGAGCCAGAAAAUUGUAUGAGCACAAAUAUGUAUAAAAGUAUAGUUACACAAAGAAAUAUACAAAAGUUAGUAGAUAAUUAUACCAAAAUUAAACUAACAAAAGAACAAACAAGUGGGGGGUCGUCAUCAGUUACCAAUUUGGACCAAGGAAACCCCAAAAGUAACAAUAGUAAUAAUUCAAAAAAUGUCAAUUCUUAUAAACUUUUCAUAUUAUCAUUAAAACUUUCGGUAUUUUUUUUGUUUGCAUUUGUAGUUAUAUUUGUCUACAUAUCUUUGAAGUAAGUUUAUAUAGGAAGGGUUUAUUAUAUGUAGUAGAAGGGUGGAAAAAAAAAAAAAAAAAAAAAAAAAAAAAAAAGGGAACCACUUGAGAGGAACUAUUGUACGUACGCCGAUUUUUUUAAUGUUUAUUAUAACACGUACAUUAUAACAUAUAUACAUAAAUGCACUACUGUUUUUUAGAAAUACAAGAUCAGAAUGUUAAUUAUUUAAAAAUGUCAAUUUA